rnacentral:rRNA from 1 species
UACGUAGGGGGCAAGCGUUGUCCGGAUUUAUCGGUGCGUAAAGAGCGCGCAGGCGGUCAUGCAAGUCGCGUGUGAAAGCCCCCGGCUCAACUGGGGAGGGUCACGCGAUACUGUUCGACUCGAAGGCAGGAGAGGGAAGCGGAAUUCCCGGUGUAGUGGUGAAAUGCGUAGAUAUCGGGAGGAACACCAGUGGCGAAGGCGGCUUCCUGGCCUGUUCUUGACGCUGAGGCGCGAAAGCUAGGGUAGCAAACGGG